rnacentral:rRNA from 1 species
UCGAUGAAGAACGCAGCGAAAUGCGAUAAGUAAUGUGAAUUGCAGAAUUCAGUGAAUCAUCGAAUCUUUGAACGCACAUUGCGCCCCUUGGUAUUCCGAGGGGCAUGCCUGUUCGAGCGUCACUUCAACCUUCAAGCUCUGCUUGGUAUUGGGCACCGCCAGCAUCGGCGGGCCUUAAAAUCAGUGGCGGCGUCGCUAGGUCCUGAGCGUAGUAAUACUCCUCGCUACUGGAUGCUAGUAGAUGUCUGCCAUCAACCCCAACUCUUAAUGGUUGACCUCGGAUCAGGUAGGGAUACCCGCUGAACUUAA